ensembl:snRNA U6 U6 spliceosomal RNA
GUGCUUGCUUCAGCAGCACAUAUACUAAAACUGGAAUAAAUGAAAGAUUAGUAUGACCCCUGUGCAAGGAUAACAUGCAAAUUCAUGAAGCGGUUUAAAUUUAA